UACGGAGGGGGCUAGCGUUGUUCGGAAUUACUGGGCGUAAAGCGCACGUAGGCGGCUUGGUAAGUUAGAGGUGAAAGCCUGGAGCUCAACUCCAGAAUUGCCUUUAAGACUGCCGAGCUAGCAGGUGAGAGAGGUGAGUGGAAUUCCGAGUGUAGAGGUGAAAUUCGUAGAUAUUCGGAAGAACACCAGUGGCGAAGGCGGCUCACUGGCUCAUACUGGACGCUGAGGUGCGAAAGCGUGGGGAGCAAGCAGG
rnacentral:rRNA from 1 species